AUGGGAUCUCAUGGAGGGAGGUCCUGCAGAGUGGCUCAUCCCAACCCCUCUGUGAUGUCCCAUCACAGAAAUUCAGGUUUGGGUGGUGGCAGAGCAGGGAAAGGUCCCACUCUCCCCAUGACAGACAGGAGGAGGCUUUCCCUGGGCUCUGAGCCGUGGUUCCAGGGUGGUUCCAGGUGGACUCUGGGGAUUGGAGAUGGCUGGGUCAGAGGGAAGGGAUGGGAGAUCAUGAAAUCACAGAAUCACCAAUGUUGGAAGAGACCCUCGGGAUCAUCCAGUCCAGCCCAGCAGCACCACGAAAGGGACCUUGGGAGGGCCAGAACAGGAGCUCCAGGAUCUCCCCCCUUGCCUGGCCUUGGCAUUUCCAUGCCCGUCUGGCCAGGCAGGCUCCGCUGCUGCCAAUGUGCUGAUGCGGGAGCUUUGCAGCGCCGAGAUUUGCCUCCUGUGCAAAACCCAGCGAAAGUGGGCUGGGGCUGGAGCCGCGGCGUUCCCAGCCCAGGGCAGGGACGCGGGAGGAUCAGAGGGAUCGCAGCUCGGGAGGCUCCGGGGACGCGCCCACAGCGGCUCCCGAAGCUGCCCCGGGGCCGGGCGGAGCCGCCCCAGCGCCUUUCCCAGCCGGAAGAAGUGACAGAUCCCUCUGGCUGCAUGAUGAUGCUCUGGAAGCACGGGAAACAAAGCUGCAGGUGUUUUAUAUUCCCUUUUAUCAAGGGUGAAUUGCCUCUCUUGGUGCUGCACUGGGGUUUCACCAGCCUGAGGAGCACUGGGAUGGAGGAGAUUUGGGGGCCCUUGGAGCUGGUUCUGAGCCAGAUAAAGGUGGGUGUUAAACUGGGAGGUGCUUGGAGCAGCUUUGCUGCAGCUGAAAACAUCCCAUGAGCUCUGGGAUGGCCCAAACCUCCCUGGGCCCCCGGAUCCCUCCCGGGGCUGCCCGACCCUGUCCCCCCAUCCCCAGCCCUGUUUGCUUCCUGCGUCAGGGCUGACUCACCCUGGGAUUCCUCAGCUCUGAAGUGGUUCCUGCCGGCCCUGCCCCUCCCCUGCCCAGGUGCUGAGGGUUUUUUUCCGAAGCUCUGACUCUCUGGGUGUGCCCGAGCCUCGGCAGGUCCCGGCAGGAGCGGCUCCGCUCCGCUCCCACCGCGCGUUCCUGGCGGGGCUCCAGGGGCUGGGCAGGAGCGGCCCCGGCAGCUCCUUGCCCUGCUGAGCUGGGGCUUUUCUGCUCCUGCUGGGUCCGUCUGUGGACACAGGGACAGCACUGCAGCCCCAGAGCCCAAUGGCUGCUCCAGACCCUUCCGUGGGCACAGGGCACCGUCCCAAAUCCCGGUGGCUGUUCCAAAUUCCUCCAUGGACACAGGGCACUCUCCCAGAUCCCCCAGAGCCCUCUGGCUCCUCCAUAGACAUAGAGCACUUUCCCAGAGCCCUGUGGCUCCUCCGGACCUUUCCAUGGACACAGGGCACUGUCCCAGAUCCUCCAAACCCCUGUGGCUCCUCCAUGCUCACAGGGCACUGUCCCAGAUCCCCCAGAGCCCGCUGUGGAUCCCAGUUCCCUGAGGUUUGGAGAGUUCCUGGUGAAUUUGUGCUCAGAGAGAUCCGUGGGGCUGGGAGGGAGCAGGUUGGGAGAAGGGAAGGCUCUGGAGACACCUUGGAGCCUUUUCCAGUGUCCAAAGGAGCUCCAGGAGAGCUGGAGAGGGACUGGGGGCAAGGCCUGGAGUGCCAGGACACAGGGAAUGGCUUCCACUGCCAGAGGGAGGGACGGAUGGAUGGGACAUUGGGAAGGAAUUCCUCCCUGUGAGGGUGGGCAGGCCCUGGGAUGGAUUUCCCAGAGGAUUCCCCAUCCCUGGCAGUGCCCAAGGCCAGGUUGGAGCAGCCUGGGAGAGUGGAA
ensembl:lncRNA